UUUGCGCGCGCACGUCGAACUUCUCGGUUGGGUGUCGACUUCAAACUCGUCACAGUGCCUUACUGUCUGUUAGUGCAUUAACACUGCUGAACUAUCUAAGCUAGGCACAGUGAUUCGACAUGGCUAUUUUGGAUCCUUAAAGUUGGACGUUAACCUUUAAUAGUAUAUUGUUUUGACGCGGAUCUCAAAAUCCGACUCUUCAGAUAAUAUUGUGCGUCCGUUUGAUCUGGAAUAACGUAGAAGAAAGCUCUUUAUGCCAUGGAUUUAGUAAUAAGCUUGUGUCUACUUCAACGUAUUUCUGUAAUAUUGUGGAUUGAUAUGAAUACGUGAUGAUGUGAACUACACUUGAUAUAGCGUUACUAGGAAUCAGUCAUUGUUUGUUUCUUAUAGCUAUCCACACAGCCUCGCCUUGCAAAAGAAUGAACAUAUUAAGAACAUCGAGAGAGGUUAUUAUGAUUAGCCUACUGAUUAUAUCCAGAUGAAACGAUUGAUUGGAAAGCAUAGUAACAAUGUCUGAAUGAAGAACAUUCAGUAGAUUAAUGCUCGAUAGUAGGCCAUACAAUGCCAGUCUAGGCAUCCUGUGUCGUACAAUCAGAGUAGAAUAUGGAGAGUAAGCAAUGUAGAGGAUUCUGCAUUCGUUGUUUAAUCUAAACUAUCAGGAAAGAAAGUACAUUCUAGUCUCUAAAUUGGGACAUUAUAUCUUUACCAUUGCCAAAAUUAGUCAGGAUGGCUUCGGAUACGGAAGCACUCGCCCGGAGCAUUCAACUACCUGAAGAAUAUAACCCACACUCUGAGACAGAUGACGCAAGUACAGUCGAAGGCUCUCUAUCCGACUUUAGUCGAACGGCAACCUGCUAUCCGAUUUUCUUCGCUAGCGGGCGAACCGAGGCUACCGCGGAUAAUACGAAUUGUGAUCCGCAAACCGCUCCACGUUCUUGUUUCAAACGACAGCGUCAAGGAUACUUUUUAAUAUCAUUCAUCAGUUUGAUUGUACUAGCCGGAUUGGCAAUGAUUUUCGUCGGGUAUUACUUGCAUAAUCGCGGAUAUUUGUUAAUUGUUGGAAUAAUCUAUCCGUGGGUUGUUGGUGUGCCCACCUGUUAUGUGUACUGUCAAUACCGGGGGUCCCGUCCUAGAGGUAGAGGUAGACGGAGAGGGUCAACAAUUGCUUUAUCAACUGCUAUGAGCAUAGAAGUACCGCCCCCGGAGUACGAAUGUCGGCAUCACUUUACUACUGUGGAUUAUACCGGUUACGAUCCUCACACCGGUUUAUGGGCUAAUGGUUCUCAAAGUAAUGGGACAACAUCUGGACCAUCAUCGGGUUCAAACCUUGCACCAGAGCAUGGCAGGCCAUUGAGAUUGAAUACUGGACUAUCUAUGACUAUAUCUUGCGACGGACCUCCUCCAGAUUAUGAUGAUAUAACACAGGCGCAGUCUGCAUGAUGACCUCAUUAUUACGAGUCUUUAAAUCACAUAUCGCUUUGAUAGCGUUUCAACAUGGUCACCAUCGAUGGUUUUCUGCCAAAAUUUGUUAUUUUGAAAACGAAUAUGCACUAGCCAGUUGGUAAGGCAAUAGAAGUAUUCAUUCGCAGAUCGUUUAUUGACUAUUCUACAUCUGCGAUUGCAACAGGGUGACUAGCCUUUCAUUCGAUAGAACAUAGGAUAUCUUAUAUGUUACCGUGUUUGAAAGAUGACAUCGAUGAUUAAUAUGGCUGUAGGACAAGCAAUGACGUAGGCAUGUUACCAUGGCAACAUUAGUUACCUCAGGAUGAGGCGAGUACUGCGAAAAAUAGAAAUGAAGAAUUUCAAAAAUUAUCGUUGGAUGAAUAACGAUUUUAGAAAUGCUGAAGUUUUAUGAGAGAAAAUUGUUUGAUUGUAAAGUCUUACAAUCACACUACAUAUCGCACUAUCGUUAUUAACCGUACUUUUAGUCAGAGACCCUAAAAGCCACGAUACAUUGAUUCCAAAUCUCUUCUAACUCUGCAUCAAAUCAUCAAGUGAUUCUGAACAUCUAUUUUUUCAUAUCUUUCGGAACGAUAGUUAUGUUGAGAGCUAUUUUUGAAAUGUUAUAUGCCAUGAUGAUAUUGAUGAUAAUGGUGGUAUUUUUCCUGACAGCUAUAAAA